rnacentral:rRNA from 1 species
ACAGCAGUAGCCACGGUAAUACGAAGGUCCCGAGCGUUGUUCGGAAUCACUGGGCGUAAAGGGAGCGUAGGCGGCGUGGUAAGUCAGAUGUGAAAUCCCGGGGCUCAACCCCGGAACUGCAUCCGAUACUGCCGUGCUAGAGGAUUGGAGAGGUAGCUGGAAUUCUUGGUGUAGCAGUGAAAUGCGUGGAGAUCAAGAGGAGCACUCGUGGCGAAAGCGAGCUACUGGACAAUAUCUGACGCUGAGGCUCGAAGGCCAGGGUAGCGAAAGGGAUUAGAUACCCCUGUAGUCCCUGUCUCUUAUAC